GCCGCUCUAGCUCAGCUGGUAGAGCAACGCUUUUGUAAAGCGAAGGUCGUCGGUUCGAGCCCGACGGGCGGCACCA
rnacentral:tRNA from 1 species